UCCAAACUGGUGGUGGCCGAAAGAAAAGAAAAACACAGCCCACCCACUCCCGCAUCCCCCCGUCUCCGGCUGGAUCCCGGUGAUGGCCAGCCCCCCACCUUCUCCCCCGUCUGGAUCCCGCCGCCGCGCCCGCCCCAUCUUCUUCCCGGCGCUGCCCCGCCCCCACCUUCUUCCCUGCGCUGCCCCGCCCCCACCUUCUUCCCUGCGCCACCCCGCCCCCACCCUUCUUCCCUGCGCCGCCCCGCCCCCACCUUCUUCCCCGCGCCACCCCCACCUUCCGGCGACGCGCCGCCCCCACCUGCCGGCGCCGCACCGCCCCACACCUCCUAAGCGACGCCCGCCCCAUACUCCGACUGGCCAAGCGCCACCGCCACCGUCCUGCUCACCGGCGAGGCCCUCCUCCCCCACUGCCGCCAUGGCCGUUCGACGCCAUCACCGCAGGCCAUUCGAUGCCACCACCGCAUGCCGUUCAUCGCAGCAGCAGCCUGGAUCCGCCCGGCUCCCUUUCCCAGCGCGCCGCCGCCGACCGGCUCCCUCCCCUAGAGCGUCGUUGCGGCCCCAGCACCACUUCCUUGCCGUGGCAUAGCAUCGUCGACUGCGCCCUUCCCCUUCUUCCCCUAGUGCCUCGUGGUGGAAUCCAAGGGAGGGCCAGGCCGUUCACAGCCGCCACCCCCCUCAGUCCAUUCAACACCGCCAACCAAGGCCGCGCUCCCCUGUCCCCCAGCUCGGGCCGCCGGUCCCCUGCAGUCCCCAACACCACCGUCUCGAUGUGCCGUCAUGCUGUUUUACAUGGGAGGUAUUGGCCUCCUUCAUCCGCCGGAUUCGACCAUCCCCUUUUGUUCACCUCCGCCACCUGAGGCCGUUCACCACUGCCACCAGUUCCCGUUCAACACCGCCCGCGCAAUCUCACGUGUCAACGACACCCCUGUCUACCCCACGCGAAGCUUCAACAGAGGCUCGGUUCAGAACUUUAAAUACCUCUACUCUUUUGUUUGUGUACAUAUCUAAGAGGGAACUGAAAAAAUGGAAUUCAACAUCACUAGUUUACUUAGGGGACGAAUUCUGAUUUUCUAGCAGUUCUAGUAAAUAUGUUAGAAGAAUUCCGAGUUGUAUUGUUCUAGUCUGCUGUCAAGGCAAGCUGCUAUGAUGUGUUGUCACCAUUUAUAAUCUGUUAAUGACCGGUAUGUUCUUGUCGUCAGUUCAUGUGUGUCCUUGUUGUCAGGUUGUGUUCAUGUUUUAUAAUCAGUUCAUGUACAUGUGUGUUUGUAAUCACGGUGUGUUCUAAUAACUUCUUUCAGAAACCACUUUGUAGCUCUAUUCAGCUAUGGAUUCUCCGUUCCCAGAAAGUUAAACAUCAGUUCUUCUAAUUUGUAAAGAAAAUGUAGUUUUUCAGAUUAACAUAAGAACACGGCUUCUUUGAUGUAGUGCCAUUCAAAUUCUUAUUUUAGUUUUGUUCAUUUUCUUAUUUAAGUUCAGUUUAAAAUCUAAUCUUAGUUCAGUUCAAGACAGAUUAUCAUCUAUCCAAUACAGAAGGAAAAUAGAGUUGGGAGUGGACGACCUUGAGCUUGUCCAGCCACCUUCAUUGUGCUUCUCCAGUGCGUUCAUGUGUCAUAUUGCGAGCAUUCCUGUGCCGCGUGCAUGCUUUGGACUAUGUGUUGUCUAUUGUUAUGUAGUAUCUCCAGAUUUUCUAAACUAACUUGCUCAAUGACAGAAUUGUGUAUUGCACAGUACAUGUAUUACUACUAGGAAUGUUCAGAAAUCAGAACUCAAAGAAGUAUUGACAGCACAACUACUGUAUAUUCAAGGAGUCGGGUUUUGCUCCUGCAUCACCUCGUCUCCUCCGUUCGACAAAAGCAUCAGAUAAGUUCACACUAUGGUUUUGCUCUUUCGUAUAAUUCAUGAGUCCAUACUCCUUCGGUUUUUGUUCCAUAGAAAUUAAAGAAACCUGUAGAAGUUUGGGGUAUAAAAUUCUAUAAGUUCAAAACCGGGAAACUAGUAAGUUCAGACAAAAUUAAAACUGUCAAAGAACAUGAGAGUUUUUGUCAAAAAACCGAGGCUUCCCCACGCCAGCACAAACUUUUUAAAUGGGUGGAUUUUGUCAAAGCAAAAACUGAAUGGGUGGCAAGAUGAAUGUAGUUGUUAUUAAAAGUUUCUUUUUCAACUUCUCCUCUUAAUAUACAUGAACUUGAUUAUAUUUUUAACCGGUUAAAUAUACAAGGUUGGCAAGAUGACUAUAGUUGUUAUAGCAAAAAAGUACCGUUUUCUUAAAAAAGUUUCUGUUUGAACUUCUCCAAUUAAUAUACAUGAACUCAAUUAUCUUUUUAACAUGUAUUCACAUGAGCUCGUUUGGAUUUUUGUGUAUACUUGUAACACAAUCAGUUCAGAUCUCGAGAGACCGUAAGUUUAGUCGGCCUUGGCAUCACGAACGGGUUCAGUUCGAUCUCGCAUAGUGGGCAGGUUCCUGAUGGUGUGUCUGUCAGUUCUACUCGCACGAGUGGACGUCAGAUCGUGCAAGUGGGAAGGUCCCCGAUGUAUAUUCAGUUCAACAUCUGGUGCUUCUUCAGUUCAUCGUAGUGUGCAUUUUCACUUCAUCUUGCAGGUAUGAUCAUUCUCUGCCCUUGCUAAUGUAUUUUGUAGUAACUUUGUAAACAAAAGAGAUAGCACACUGGAACAAAACAGUAGUGAAGAAAGAUACCCUAUGUUAAUUUUGGUGACUCUAUUGUUCGUUCCAUCACUUGUAGAUGUAUGCCUGACCAUUUUUUCUCAAAUUUGGCAUUUGUUAAGUUGUGAGGCUACCCAUUCGGGUGCUUACUUGAAGGGGUAGCCACGGUGCUGAUACUAAAAAAAUGGAUGAGUAAUCACAAAGACCAUCAUGGAUGACGACAAGCCUACAGCUGCUAUGGUUUUAGUCAAGUGUUUCAGAAAUGCGCAGUACUACUUUGUAUCUGUCACUCUUUGUCAGGGGAAGGUGACUAAAGCUCCAUAUUGCAAUUUCACUAAGAUAUCCGGAUUUCAUUUAGUGUUUAAAAUUAAUUACUUUCUUGUCCAGUCAUACUAGUACUGAUGAAAUAUCAAGUUGACAUUGUGCUCGGCCAUAGGUCCGCAUUUUUUCUCUCCCUUCGGUUCAAGGAGAAGCAACAGCUGGCCUGCAGUGCCGCCAUCUGAAGACAGGGGAGAUGUCCGUAAUCCCCUUAUGGUAAUUAUGCAGGUGCGGAACCUCCCAAGCGCACGACAACCUCAUCCGUCCAAGUUGAGCACUGGGCGCUGUCCGAGUAGAGCAAUGCGCCCCGUCCAAGUUCCCAUCUAAUGUUGAACGUUCAAUUUUGUCAUGUUGAAUACUAUACCGCUGAGUGCUAUUGACAGUCAGUUAUUUCUUCCUUCCAUGCUGCACUUGGAGAGCUUAAUCUCCCAUUGGCAAAUUUAAUCUGUACCAGUAAGUACAUGAUUAAUAUUUUAGGAUAUGUGUGGUUCCAGUAAGUACAUGAGUACUAUUUAGCAUGUUUGGUUGCUUCUGAAACUGAAAAUGUCAGGGUGUACUGAUGCAUUUCAAAAUUGUUGUGUGUUUUCAGGGAAAACCAUUUGUCGGGUUUUUGGUGGCCAAGUGUUAUUGAUAUGGAGAUGAAUAACUAUGCGGAUGCACUCCUGCUGUUUUUGCAUCUCCUUCGCGACGACCUAUUUUGUGCCCAUGAACAAAUAGCAAAGCCCUCCUGUAGCCUGAGCUAUUCAUCGCCUUGUCUCAAUGGAUCAGAGUUCAUGGAAAAAAUGUUUGGCAUCCUGUAGUAGUUAUAGUCCUUAAGUUACAACAGUUUGAUCAUGAAAAAAACAUCAGUACAAAAAGUAUGGAGCUUCUAAUGUUGUAGUGAUUUCGUGUGACCA